AAUUCAAAUUAUCACUUUUAUCAAUUUUAUCAGUUUUUUGAAAUAUCUAAUGCUAGUUUUCAAGUCAGUGUCGUACAUGUAUAUACUAAAAUACCUGAUUUGGUGGUGGUCCAGGGGGUGGGGCAUCAGUGGCUUUUGGGCAAUUAUUAGGUGGUGUAGUGGGGAAGGUGGUAGGUUUCUCAGUAGCAUUUGGUUUCGGAGAGAUGGUUGUUGAUUCCUCAGGACCUGUGGUGGCUAUGAUUUUGCUCGUAUUGCUCUCCGAAUCUGAGUCGGAUUCUUCUUUUGCAUAUAGGACUGCAAGAACUACCACGGCGAUGAGGAGAAGUAUUAUAAGGACGACGGCUAGAACUAGAGCUUUCUUACUGCUCUUUGAUCUGUAACCACUGAAGAAAAUUGAUCUUGUCUUAGCUACUUUUGGGGAUUUGAUGGAAG